GACGAACGCUGGCGGCGUGCUUAACACAUGCAAGUCGAACGGAAAGGCCCUUCGGGGUACUCGAGUGGCGAACGGGUGAGUAACACGUGGGGGAUCUGCCCUGCACUUUGGGAUAAGCCUGGGAAACUGGGUCUAAUACCGAAUAGGACCACGCGCUUCAUGGUGUGUGGUGGAAAGCUUUUGCGGUGUGGGAUGGGCCCGCGGCCUAUCAGCUUGUUGGUGGGGUAAUGGCCUACCAAGGCGACGACGGGUAGCCGGCCUGAGAGGGUGACCGGCCACACUGGGACUGAGAUACGGCCCAGACUCCUACGGGAGGCAGCAGUGGGGAAUAUUGCACAAUGGGCGCAAGCCUGAUGCAGCGACGCCGCGUGAGGGAUGACGGCCUUCGGGUUGUAAACCUCUUUCAAUAGGGACGAAGCGAAAGUGACGGUACCUAUAGAAGAAGCACCGGCCAACUACGUG
rnacentral:rRNA from 1 species